rnacentral:rRNA from 1 species
UACGGGGGGGGGCAAGCGUUGUUCGGAAUUACUGGGCGUAAAGGGCGCGUAGGCGGUGUGUCAAGUCAGGCGUGAAAGCCCCGGGCUCAACCUGGGAACCGCGCUUGAGACUGGCACGCUCGAGUUCGGGAGAGGAUGGUGGAAUUCCCCAGUGUAGAGGUGAAAUUCGUAGAUAUUGGGAAGAACACCGGUGGCGAAGGCGGCGACCUGGUUCAUUACUGACGCUGAGGCGCGAAAGCGUGGGGAGCAAACAGG